ACGCACGCUGGCGGCGUGCUUAACACAUGCAAGUCGAACGGAAAGGCCCUGCUUUUGUGGGGUGCUCGAGUGGCGAACGGGUGAGUAACACGUGAGUAACCUGCCCUUGACUUUGGGAUAACUUCAGGAAACUGGGGCUAAUACCGGAUAGGAGCUCCUGCUGCAUGGUGGGGGUUGGAAAGUUUCGGCGGUUGGGGAUGGACUCGCGGCUUAUCAGCUUGUUGGUGGGGUAGUGGCUUACCAAGGCUUUGACGGGUAGCCGGCCUGAGAGGGUGACCGGCCACAUUGGGACUGAGAUACGGCCCAGACUCCUACGGGAGGCAGCAGUGGGGAAUAUUGCACAAUGGGCGGAAGCCUGAUGCAGCAACGCCGCGUGCGGGAUGACGGCCUUCGGGUUGUAAACCGCUUUCGCCUGUGACAAAGCGUGAGUGACGGUAAUGGGUAAAGAAGCACCGGCUAACUACGUG
rnacentral:rRNA from 1 species